UUACGGCCAUAUCACGUUGAAACAUCAAUUCCUGUACGAUCACCGAAGUUAAGCAGCGUCGAGCCUCGUCAGUAACUAAAUGGGUGACUUCUUGGGGAUACCUGGCGC